UACGAAGGGUGCAAGCGUUACUCGGAAUUACUGGGCGUAAAGCGUGCGUAGGUGGUGAGUUAAGUCUGUCGUGAAAGCCCCGGGCUCAACCUGGGAAUGGCGAUGGAUACUGUCGGACUAGAGUGCGGAAGAGGCGAGUGGAAUUCCCGGUGUAGCGGUGAAAUGCGCAGAUAUCGGGGACGACAACAUGCGAAGGCAGCUCGCUGGGACGUUACUGACGCUGAGACGCGAAAGCGUGGGGAGCAAACAGG
rnacentral:rRNA from 1 species